AAGUUCUGGACUUGAGCUCCUGGAACAUACACUAGACUUUCCCUCAUCACAGGAGAACAUGAGUGGGCAGAACAAAGGCACAGGUGGCACACCUCAGGGUGCGACCUCACCACAGGCCUCCCCGCUCACAGAAGGAUCUCCUAAUGGUCCUCCGGACUCAGUUCUGAAGUCAGGAGAAACCAAACCCUUUACAGGUGUCAGCGUCCCUGAGAACUCCGUCUGCCUGGAUCUAAGCCCCGACCCUGUGACUGGCCCAGUUGAAAUUCCUGCUGCCGAUGCCAAAGCCCCCGAUGGGGGCGAUGGGCCUCCAGAAGUCACUUGCCAAAGCAAGGAGGCCUUGAAUCCAACCAAAAGAGACCCCAUCCUUGAGAAUGAGAUUACUGCUCAGGGUAGCAUGGAGACUUGUCUUCCAGAA
rnacentral:lncRNA from 1 species